CCUACGGGAGGCAGCAGUGAGGAAUCUUGGUCAAUGGGCGAGAGCCUGAACCAGCAAAGCCGCGUGAGGGAAGACGGCCCUCUGAGUUGUAAACCUCUUUUGUCGGAGAACAAAACCCGGGACGUGUCCCGGACUGCGUGUAUCCGAAGAAAAAGCAUCGGCUAACUCCGUGCCAGCAGCCGCGGUAAUACGGAGGAUGCGAGCGUUAUCCGGAUUUAUUGGGUUUAACGGGUGCGUAGGCGGGCGGAUAAGUUAGAGGUGAAAUCCCGAGGCUCAACCGCGGAAUUGCCUGGGAUACUGUUGGGCUUGAGAGUAGGUGAGGAAGGCGGAAUGUAUGGUGUAGCGGUGAAAUGCUUAGAGAUCAUACAGAACACCGAUUGCGAAGGCAGCUUACCAGUCUACUUCUGACGCUGAGGCACGAAAGCGUGGGGAGCAAACAGGAUUAGAUACCCGAGUAGUC
rnacentral:rRNA from 1 species